UUUCCUCCUUUGAUCAGCACAUUCAACUGGUGCAAUACAGGGAUGGAAAGGAAGGCAAGAAAUGGAGGUGGAUGAAUGGACAGGGAAGCCUGCUGCCAUGUCUUGAGGACCCUCCAACAGCUCUGUGGAGAAGCCCACAUGGUGAGAAACUGAGGCCUUCAUGCAACAGCCAUGUGAAAAAGUCUUCAUGGAAGUGGGUCUUCCAGCCCAAUCAGAUCUUCAGAUGACUGCAGCCCCAGCUGACAGUUUCACAGGAAACUAAUGAGAGACCCUGAACCAGAGCCACCUGGGCCCCUGAGUUUCUGGCAGUUACAGUCAGGGCCCUCUGCUGAAAGAAGCAUCAUGGAAACCUGGACACACAUGAGAACCGGCCUUCCACGCAGGCAAGAAGCAGAAACUGAGGCUCCUCCUUCUCCAUCAUGAGGAAUGUCUUCUGGAAGGCCCUCUGUUGACCUCUCUUGAGAGAUGGCUUUGGUCUGGGUCACCCUGGGC
rnacentral:lncRNA from 10 species